rnacentral:rRNA from 1 species
CGAAGGGGGCUAGCGUUGCUCGGAUUGACUGGGCGUAAAGGGCGCGUAGGCGGUUUGUACAGUCAGACGUGAAAUUCCUGGGCUCAACCUGGGGGCUGCGUUUGAUACGUGCAGACUUGAGUUCGGAAGAGGGUCGUGGAAUUCCCAGUGUAGAGGUGAAAUUCGUAGAUAUUGGGAAGAGCACCGGUGGCGAAGGCGGCGACCUGGUCCGAUACUGACGCUGAGGCGCGAAAGCGUGGGGAGCAAACAGGAUUAGAUACCCUGGUAGUCCACGCCGUAAACGAUGUGCGCUGGAUGUUGGGUGACAUAGUCAUUCAGUGUCGUAGCUAACGCGAUAAGCGCACCGCCUGGGGAGUACGGCCGCAAGGUUG